rnacentral:rRNA from 1 species
GACAGAGGGACCUAGCGUUGUUCGGAAUGACUGGGCGUAAAGGGUGCGUAGGUGGUUGUUUAAGUAGAGUGUUAAAGCCCCAGGCUCAACCUGGGAAUCGCAUUCUAUACUGGGCAACUAGAGUAUGGCAGAGGAAAAUGGAAUUCCUAGUGUAGAGGUGAAAUUCGUAGAUAUUAGGAGGAACACCAGAGGCGAAGGCGAUUUUCUGGGCCAUUACUGACACUGAGGCACGAAAGCGUGGGGAGCAAACAGG